rnacentral:rRNA from 1 species
UGAGAAACGCACCUCUAGAUCGGAUUGCCCAUACCGUAAGGAAGUAAGACACCUGGGAGAUGAACAGGUAGAUAGGAUGGAAGUGGAAGUGCAGUGAUGCAUGGAGCGGACCAUUACUAAUCGGUCGAGGACUUAACCAAA